GGGCCGGUAGAUCAGGCUGGCAGAUCGUCUGGUUCGCAAUCAGAAGGUCGCGAGUUCAAAUCUCGCCCGGUCCACCA
rnacentral:tRNA from 1 species